rnacentral:lncRNA from 1 species
AAGUUGAUGACAUGUUUUAUGAUUCAGAACCGUCAUUUCAGUCUGAUAUCAGUAUGUGAACUGCCAGGCUGCAGUGCUGUUCCCUGAGUUUUAAAAAAAAGAAAACGAUUUCAAAAAAGUGAAUUAUAUCAGGUCAACAAAGAAACUGAUAGAAGCAGCAAGCAAUAUUCAUAUGACUGCUUUAGUUUUAGCUCGACGUAUUGGUCUGUAGUGUUCCUAUAUUCAAACUCAUACCAAACAUGGAAGAGUA